GGAGAGAUGGCAGAGUGGUCGAAUGCGGCGGUCUUGAAAACCGUUGACCUUCACGGGUCCGGGGGUUCGAAUCCCUCUCUCUCCGCCA
rnacentral:tRNA from 2 species